UACGGAGGGUGCAAGCGUUAUCCGGAUUCACUGGGUUUAAAGGGUGCGUAGGUGGGCAUGUAAGUCAGUGGUGAAAUCUCCGUGCUUAACAUGGAAACUGCCAUUGAUACUAUGUUUCUUGAAUUUUCUGGAGGUAAGCGGAAUAUGUCAUGUAGCGGUGAAAUGCAUAGAUAUGAUAUAGAACACCAAUUGCGAAGGCAGCUUGCUAAACGAUCAUUGACGCUGAGGCACGAAAGCGUGGGGAUCAAACAGG
rnacentral:rRNA from 1 species